GACGAACGCUGGCGGCGUGCUUAACACAUGCAAGUCGAACGGACAGGCCCUGCUUUUGUGGGGUGCUCGAUUGGCGAACGGGUGUGUAACACGCGAGUAACCUGCCCUUGAAUUUGGGGUAACUUCACGAAAAUGGGGCUAAUACCCGGUAUGAGCUCCUGCUGCAUGGUGGGGGUUGGAAAGUUUCGGCGGUUGUGGCUGGAAUCGCGGCUUAUCAGCUUGAUGGUGUGGUAGUUGCAUACCAAGGUUUUGACGGGUAGCCGGCCUGAGAGGGUGACCGGGCACAUGGGGACUGAGAGACGGACCAGACGCCUACGGGAGGCAGAAGUGGGGAGUAUUGCAGAAUGGGCGGAAGCCUGAUGCAGCAACGCUGCGUGCGUGAUGACGGCCUUCGGGUGGUAAACCGAUUUCGCAUGUGACGAAGAGUGAGUGACGGUAAUGGGUAAAGAAGCACCGGCUAACUACGUG
rnacentral:rRNA from 1 species